GUUAACUUGAUACUGUAGGUUGUUGCAUUUACAUUACGCACACAAAAGCGCAACUAGGCGCAGUAAAUCAGCCAAGAAGGGGAGCCAACAUUCCCUCCAAACGUUCUACAACCAACAGACCAACAGAGGAAACCCAACCCCAGCGGCACAGACGCAAGUUAUUGGCCUGAUUUUGGCAAAAGUGAAGUUGUCUUACCAACCAUACCCAUUCUCCCCCACCCCCACCCGUGUCGCAUUCGCUGGUCCUGCUCGGAAGGUUCUACUCGGUGAAAUUACCUGUUUUAUACUGAAUAAUCUAGGACUUCUGCAUACCAUGCCCCAAGUGGAAAAAAUAUAUUUGCUUACGAAGACCAAUUUUAUAUACUUAUGUUUAUUAAAUUAUUCUCACAUGAUUUAUAGCGAUGCCAAACAACUACGGCCAACUCCGCCCGUACCGCCUAGUAAAAUAAGUGACCAUGUAUAACUUGAAUAUUUCCACUCCGAUUUUAAAAAAUGUGAUUAAUAAGACUAAAAAUGAAAAUUAAUAAGACUAUUUAGUGUGCGAUACUUAACUUAAAAAGUAAA